rnacentral:rRNA from 1 species
GACGAACGCUGGCGGCGUGCCUAAUACAUGCAAGUCGAACGCUUUUUCUUUCACCGGAGCCUGCUCCACCGAAAGAAAAAGAGUGGCGAACGGGUGAGUAACACGUGGGUAACCUGCCCAUCAGAAGGGGAUAACGCUUGGAAACAGGUGCUAAUACCGUAUAACACUAUUUUCCGCAUGGAAGAAAGUUGAAGGGCGCUUUUGCGUCACUGAUGGAUGGACCCGCGGUGAAUUAGCCAGUUGGUGAGGUAACGGCUCACCAAGGCAACGAUGCAUAGCCGACCUGAGAGGGUGAUCGGCCACACUGGGACUGAGACACGGCCCAGACUCCUACGGGAGGUAGCAGUAGGGAAUCUUCGGCAAUGGACGAAAGUCUGACCGAGCAACGCCGCGUGAGUGAAGAAGGUUUUCGGAUCGUAAAACUCUGUUGUUAGAGAAGAACAAGGAUGAGAGUAAAACGUUCAUCCCUUGACGGUAUCUAACCAGAAAGCCACGGCUAACUACGUGCCAGCCGCCGCCGUAA